CCCAGCCUGGCCUGGCUGCAGCAUCUGCCCAGCCUCUGCAGGAAGGCAUUUGGCAUCAGCUGACAGGCAGCCCAAACUGCACCAAAGGGCAUGCACACCCUGAGAUCCCCUGCAAUUUCCUGGUCUCUGGGUAGAUCCGGAGAAGCAACUAUUUGGAGAUGGGAGGGCCCUGGAGCAGCCCCAAGGGCCUUGGCCUUUCCCUGAUACUUAUCCAUAUCUUUGACAAGUGCAGUUUCCUGAAGAUGCCACCACCCUAAUGGGGAAUGGUUCCACCAGAUCCAGCUGUCCUUUUUCCUUUCUCCAGAUGUGGACCGAAAACAUUUGCGGAAGGCAGAACUUCCUGGAGGAAGUGAUGGCCCAGUGCCAGCCACCGAUGCACAAAGGGAGGAGAUGCCAGACAGUGCCACAGAAGAUAUUAUCAAUGAAACAGGAAUAUAUGCCCCGGAUCCAGUGCGCUUCCCAAGAAUUGUCUGUCCCGAGGAUGUGCGCAGGACCUGCAUGAUAGGCACAGUGGUGACAGUGUUCACUGUGCCACUUGUGCUGAUAGGGUGCUGUCUUGGCAUUCGCAAGCUGUACGAGCUCAGACGUGCUUCUUCCAGUUAUUUGAUAUAGUGAGUGAUGGCCUAAUUAUCCCAUGGCUGAAUUAGAAGACUACGCAGAUGCAAACCUGGAUGAUUCCAUUAAAAAAGCUGCAAAGCAGAUCCUGGAGAAGAGGGCAUACAUCUGCUCCCACCCACUGGACAGGACCUUCUGAUUCCUCCCUGAGAGCAGGCAUUCAUGAAUGUCAGUCAGUGAGGAAUUUGCUGCAGUUCCCACAUUUGGCAUCUUAAAAGCAUCUGUUAUUUAAUGUCUUUGCUAAAUAUUACUGUGUAAAAUAAAAUUUCUUUGUAACCAAAA